rnacentral:rRNA from 1 species
AGAGUUUGAUCCUGGCUCAGGACGAACGCUGGCGGCGUGCUUAACACAUGCAAGUCGAACGGAGAACUUUCUUCGGAAUGUUCUUAGUGGCGAACGGGUGAGUAACGCGUAGGCAACCUGCCCUCUGGUUGGGGACAACAUUCCGAAAGGGAUGCUAAUACCGAAUGUGAUCCUUCUUUCGCAUGAAGGAAGGAUGAAAGAUGGCCUCUACUUGUAAGCUAUCGCCAGAAGAUGGGCCUGCGUCUGAUUAGCUAGUAGGUGGGGUAACGGCUCACCUAGGCGAUGAUCAGUAGCCGGUCUGAGAGGAUGAACGGCCACAUUGGGACUGAGACACGGCCCAAACUCCUACGGGAGGCAGCAGUGGGGAAUCUUCCGCAAUGGACGAAAGUCUGACGGAGCAACGCCGCGUGAGUGAUGACGGCCUUCGGGUUGUAAAGUUCUGUUAUACGGGACGAAUGGUACGACGGUCAAUACCCGUCGUAAGUGACGGUACCGUAAGAGAAAGCCACGGCUAACUACGUGCCAGCAGCCGCGGUAAUACGUAGGUGGCAAGCGUUGUCCGGAAUUAUUGGGCGUAAAGAGCAUGUAGGCGGGCUUUUAAGUCCGACGUGAAAAUGCGGGGCUUAACCCCGUAUGGCGUUGGAUACUGGAAGUCUUGAGUGCAGGAGAGGAAAGGGGAAUUCCCAGUGUAGCGGUGAAAUGCGUAGAUAUUGGGAGGAACACCAGUGGCGAAGGCGCCUUUCUGGACUGUGUCUGACGCUGAGAUGCGAAAGCCAGGGUAGCAAACGGGAUUAGAUACCCCGGUAGUCCUGGCCGUAAACGAUGGGUACUAGGUGUAGGAGGUAUCGACCCCUUCUGUGCCGGAGUUAACGCAAUAAGUACCCCGCCUGGGGAGUACGACCGCAAGGUUGAAACUCAAAGGAAUUGACGGGGGCCCG